rnacentral:lncRNA from 1 species
AUUGGAGGCUAAGCACAUUGACACAAUAUUUAACGUGGUUCGGCAAACCGCCUACAUCCACGGGAGAAGCCAUUUGAUUAUAUAGGGAGAGAACAAGGUUUACAACAAUAGAGGAGGAGGAAUUAUUCCCUCUUUAGCAACUCUCAACCUCACUCUAUUUCUCUCUUCUUGGUGCUGCAAUGGCAGCCCACUCUCUCCUAUAUUUCUCACAUCUUUGACUCUACUUUCACUCACAUUUUGCUCUCUAAUGUAUGCCUCUAUUUAUAGGCAUCCAUGGUAGCUUCUCAUGCUCUUUUGUCAACAAUGGUGGUUGCCAAACUUGCCAAACUUCUUCAACAAAGGUGGCUGCCAACUUCUUUUCUUCUUCAACAAUGGUGGAUGGUCAAAGUCAAUGUUAGGUUGCUGCACAUUAAAUGGCAACACACCUAACAAUCACCCCCUUUGACAUUUAUAUGGGCAAUUGUCUUUUUGCUUCUUCAGCACAAUCUUGCAUCCUGCAGCUCUUCCAAGCUUACCAUUCCGAGAGCGUUUGGCCAAGUUUACAAGUACUGCCAAACCUUUCAAUCACCAGAGUCACCAAAGGAUCACUUCAACCAGAUGGUCUCACAUCACAUCUGAAGAGUGUUAACGCUUGUCUCUGGAACAUUCCCCUUCAAGCGUAUCAACCAUGCUCGGUCCGGAAUGAUUUAUCAAGCCUCACACCAAGGCUUACAACACCCCCUCAAACGAAUAUUCCAAGUGCGACAGUCAUUGAGUAUUUCAAUGUGAUCACAAGCUCACCACUCUUCCAAGAGUCUACUCAUCCAGGAGUUGCGCCUGCCCUCUGUUCCACCUUAGGAACCACGCCUUACUUCUCCAUGAGUCUCUCACUCUUAGUCUCAAGAGUUCGGGUAGCUAUCCACCUUUACUUAUGGGGGCAACCCAUUAAAGGUUGAUCCAUAUCAAUCUUCAUACUCUGAGUAUUACAAUGCUUUCACCGAGCUCACCACCUUGACAAGAGUCAACUUGUUCCCGGAACCUGCGCAUGCCCUCUGCUCCUUCAUAGCAGUCACGUCUUAAUGCUCCACAAGUCACCCAUUUAUUGUCCAAGGCAAAUGUCUUCUAGCUCAUUGAUCUUUAGCAUGGGGGCAAUAUCCAUGAAAGUCAAUCCUGCAUUUGUCUUCAUACUCAUCAUAGCCUCUUCAUUGGCUAUACAUUUGUCCACUUAUAUCCAGCCAUCAUGUUGGCUCUGGGGCUGGGCUCUUUUCAUGGCCCUCACACCUUCUCCUAAGGCGUCUCCGCUCGUCGUCAUGCGGCGGUCUGAAUCUGGGCUAAUAUUGUAGUCCUCACACCUUCCAUCCGAGGUGUCUCCAUUCAUCAUCAUGCGGCUUCAUAUCCCUCACACCUUCUCCGAAGGUGUCUUCGCCCGUUGUCAUGGGGCAGUAUGAUCUUGGACUCAUAUCAUGGCCCUCACACCUUCUGUCUGAGGUGUCUCCGCUUGUCGUCAUAAGACGUUCAGAUCUUGGACUCAUACCAUGGUCCUCACACCUUCUAUCUAAGGUGUCUCUGCCUGUCGUCAUGAGACGGUCUGAUCUUGGACUCAUACCAUGGUCCUCACACCUUCUAUCUGAGGUGUCUCUGUCUAUCGUCAUGAGACGGUCUGAUCUUGGACUCAUACUAUGGUCCUCACACCUUCUAUCUGAGGUGUCUCUGCCUAUCGUCAUGAGACGGUCUGAUCUUGGACUCAUACCAUGGUCCUCACACCUUCUAUCUGAGGUGUCUCUACCUGUCGUCAUGGGGCGGUCUGAACCAGGGCUCUAAUCUUGGCCCACACACCUUCCAUAUGAGGUGUCUAUACUCGUCAUCAUAAGACGACCACAUCCUCCUUCAUAGCGGAUGUCUUUAGUGGCUCCAAGUGGACUUGGGAGAGAUCACUACCACUGAUCACAUAGAAAGAGAAAGUUGUUGUGCACUCUUCGCAGUUUUCCAUCUCAUUUUCUAUGUUUGGAGCUUCUAUCCUUUUCUGCUUGAUAGCUCCACCCACACCAACUCUCUUUGGUGUCUUUGCCUUUCAUCAUAGGCGGUCGCACCCCCUUAAUUCGGUGCUUCUGCAACAACUCAUCUUUCCAUCCUUGCAUGCAUUGGAAAGGUCCUCACUUGUUGCCUUUAUCAAGAGCACAAGAGACUUCUUGUUGUACAACUUUUUCACAUCGUCUCUGCUCUGAGCUUCAUCUGGGAACUCUUCUUCUCCUUGCACCUAUUGUCUCAUUACAAUACCUCGUUGGAUCCUACGGGUACUCUGCACAAUCUCCGUGUGCUCUCGUGCAAUUUGGUUCUCCAGAUUUCUCCUAUUCUUUGCUUUUAUGUUUGACAGCAGCUCAUCCUGUCACAACAUUUAUCCAAGUCAAAAUAGGGUGCCAAUCUUUAUCCCCUUGCUGUAUUUCUCUUCCAUUAUCAGGGUCUUCAUCAAUUCUCCCUUCGAGAAAUCACAGUCACCAAAUCUAACUUCUUUGGAGAAAUCACCACUCCAUCAGAUCCUUGAACAUAUGGAACCCAAUGUUCCUUUAAGCUGUCAUCUUGCUAGUCUUCAACAGUUUCAUUACAAACUGUUACAUAUACAAAAAUAGUACUGUGUGGAUGAUCCUUCAACUAAGCAAGUUCCCAGGAAAGAUUUGGAGGGGUCACACUGGUCCCGCUUAAAACCCAAUCUCCUAGACAGAACUUCUUAGAACGUAUCUAUCCACCGUACUGCCUUUUUGUAUAUACAACCAUUUGCUAGCUUUGUUGCGGCUUUCCUUUACAAGUGAUCUGGGAUAUCCUGGUUUUAUACCUGAUUUCUCAACAUCUAGUGAGACUACCAGUGCUUAGAUUCGUCAAGAUUGGUCUUCAUCAAUUUCCACUCUCCACCUCAAAUCGUCCACAUCUCGGGUGUCCUGAGUGUCCCAAUUUUGCCUUCCAUCAAGGCAAUAAAUUUUCCCAUUUAACAGUUCAGCACAUGUAAUUGGGAAAACAUGUGCAUCUUCUUCUUCUUUAUCUCCAUCGACCUCAAUCCAGACCCUCAGAUGCCUCCUGAUCGGGCAAUCUCUCUUUAAUAAUUCACCACUGCCAUUUUCGGUCUCGAAUCUCAACGAUCGGACCAUACCAUUGCAUCCGGAAUGAUCAAAUUAGCUGGAAACAUGUCUUGAAUCGUCCAAAUCGCACAUCAGACGGCUACGAUUUGAUCAAAACAAUUCUGGCCUGAUCAACGGCUCAGAUUCAAUCUAAGAUCCGGUUGCACAUAGACUCUGCUGCACAAAAUCCUAUCCCUCCGCUCGCGGCUGAUAACAUGGCCAGUGGGUCCCACUAUGCUGACAUGUCUGUUGACUAGUCAAUGGCUUGCUGACUGUGUAUGCUGAUGUCAUCCUUGCAUCAUGCUGUUGUCAUCCUUUUGCAUGGCACUGUUCAUGCCUACUGUUCACAUGGGUCGGGUCAACUGGUAUUUGGGUCGGGUCAACUCAUCCGGGUAAAGAAGACGCGUGGGCAUACACCUUGCCGGAGAGUGAUGGAGAGUGCGGCCAUUUCCGACGUCCGAUUUUGACGCGGUUUUCACCAGUGGCUUCGUCUCUUCCUCCUCUACAGAGUGGGAUUGUCAAAACACCAUUUUGACAACUUUCAUUUUUGAGCAAAAAAUCAAACACCACUUAAACCAUAUGCUCUGAUACCAAUUGUAGGGAAUUUCGACCGGUGAUGUUCUGAUAUUUGCCCAUUGGAGGCUAAGCACAUUGACACAAUAUUUAACGUGGUUCGGCAAACCGCCUACAUCCACGGGAGAAGCCAUUUGAUUAUAUAGGGAGAGAACAAGGUUUACAACAAUAGAGGAGGAGGAAUUAUUCCCUCUUUAGCAACUCUCAACCUCACUCUAUUUCUCUCUUCUUGGUGCUGCAAUGGCAGCCCACUCUCUCCUAUAUUUCUCACAUCUUUGGCUCUACUUUCACUCACAUUUUGCUCUCUAAUGUAUGCCUCUAUUUAUAGGCAUCCAU